AGUGAACGCUGGCGGUAGGCCUAACACAUGCAAGUCGAACGGCAGCACAGUAAGAGCUUGCUCUUACGGGUGGCGAGUGGCGGACGGGUGAGGAAUACAUCGGAAUCUACUUUUUCGUGGGGGAUAACGUAGGGAAACUUACGCUAAUACCGCAUACGACCUACGGGUGAAAUCAGGGGAUCUUCGGACCUUGCGCGAUUGAAUGAGCCGAUGUCGGAUUAGCUAGUUGGCGGGGUAAAGGCCCACCAAGGCGACGAUCCGUAGCUGGUCUGAGAGGAUGAUCAGCCACACUGGAACUGAGACACGGUCCAGACUCCUACGGGAGGCAGCAGUGGGGAAUAUUGGACAAUGGGCGCAAGCCUGAUCCAGCCAUACCGCGUGGGUGAAGAAGGCCUUCGGGUUGUAAAGCCCUUUUGUUAGGAAAGAAAAGCAGCAGGUUAAUACCCCGCUGUUCUGACGGUACCCAAAGAAUAAGCACCGGCUAACUUCGUG
rnacentral:rRNA from 1 species